rnacentral:rRNA from 1 species
GACGAACGCUGGCGGCGGGCUUAACACAUGCAAGUCGAACGAGUGGCGAACGGGUGAGUAAUACGUGAGUAACCUGCCCUCUUUGUGGGAUAAGCCUUGGAAACGGGGUCUAAUACCGAAUAAAGGGGGAUGGGCUCGCGGCCUAUCAGCUUGUUGGGGGGGUGAUGGCCUACCAAGGCGGUGACUGGUAGCCGGCCUGAGAGGGUGACACGGCAACUUGGAACUGAGCCAGAGUCCUGAGUCCUACAGCAGGGGGCAGUAGGGGAUAAUGCACAAUGGGCGGAAGCCGGAUGCCGGGGCGCGGCGUGAGGGAUUUAGGCUUUUGGGUUGUAAACCGCUGUGACGAUCGAAUGGGUAGCUGGAGAAGAAGCGCCGGCUAACUACGUGCCAGCAGCCGCGGUAAUAC